UUUUCAUAUCAAUACGAUGAAACAAUAAAAAUCAUGACAUGUUAAUUAAGGUUUUAUUGUUAAUUUUAAAAAAGAAAAUUACGACAACUAUAAGAAGACGGAAGAAGUACGUGGCUAAUUAAAUAAGAUUAACAAUAAUUUUUCUAUUAGUGUACAUGGAUUUAUUUUUGUUCUUCGCAUAUCUUAACUCAAGUAACCAAAAAAAGUAAUAAUAAUUAAUCUACCACUAAGUUGAAAUUAAACUACAAAUAAAAUUUUAAAAAAAUUACACAAAGCACUUCAUUAACUUGUCAUUAAAACAUCACAAUUCUUCACAAAAUCUUGUAAAUUAAUUAAUCAUGCAAAGAGGCCACUAAUGUAUGAAUAAUUUUUCUUCACAUAUCCAACUCAUUUGACAAAUUAAUAAAGAUUAACCAAGCAUUAAUACUAGAAAUUAAAUAUAUUUUAAUCAAAAACACUUCCUUAAGUUGUCAUUAACCCUCCUAAUUACAACAUUUUGAAUCUUACUAGAGAUGAAUGAAACUUUGUCAUCAAACUAGACUAGACAAUUAAAAACAUCAAAAUUUUUUGUUAAAUAAAGAUAAAUUAAGCACUACAACUUGAAAUUAAACAGCAAAUAGACAUUAACAAAAUAAAAUAAAUAGAAAAUAGACAAAAAAAAAAUUCAUUAACUUGUCAUUAACCCUCCUUACAACAUUUUGAAUCAACCUAGAUAAUAAUUAAACUAGUCAUCAAGGAAAAUAACAUCAAAACUCUUAAAAUACUUUUAAAGAGUAAUAAACAUUAAUCUACCAUUAAGUUGAUUAAACUAAAACUAAACAAAAAUAAUAUACAAAACACUUCCUUGACUUAUCAUUAGUCCUCCUUACAUCAUUUUCAAAACUAGCAAAAUCAAAAUUAAAAUAAAACUAGUUAGCAACUAACCAUCUAAAAAACAUAAAAAUUGUUAUAAUUUUUUUUUUUUGGGGGGGGGGGGUAAGUGAUGAUAAAUAUUACUAACAAAAAAAACCAAAGUUACCAUUAUCAAAAUUAAGUGCAUAACUUAAAGGAUCAUAAUGAAAACUCAACUUGUUGUUACUCUUCUUGUUCUUCUUUUGAUUCAAGAAUUCACUUCUCAAUUUCAAGAAAAUGUUCCUCAACUUUUUUUUUCUAUACAAAAAUACCAAUCUUGAGUUGCAACACAUCUCAACUACAAACCCCAUCACUAGAAAAUAAUAUUAUGAUUUUUUUUUUUAUCAAAUUCAAGAAAAUGUAAUGUGUAAAAUGGGAGUUAUAAAGAAGAGAUAAAUAGGAAAAAUUUUGUUUUUUGUUUUUUUGUGGAUGUAUUUUAGGGUGUGUUUGGCUUACAAUGUAAGAGAGGGAGCAGAGUAUUGAGACAGAGUUUGAGAUAUUUGAGUGACUAAAGUAUUGUCAAAUGUCUAUCAUAUGGUAUACUAUGAAAAGUGAUUU
rnacentral:lncRNA from 1 species